CGGCGGACGGGUGAGUAACACGUGGGUAACCUACCUAUAAGACUGGGACAACUUCGGGAAACCGGAGCUAAUACCGGAUAAGAUAUCGAACCGCAUGGUUCGAUAGUGAAAGAUGGUUUUGCUAUCACUUAUAGAUGGACCCGCGCCGUAUUAGCUAGUUGGUGAGGUAACGGCUCACCAAGGCAACGAUACGUAGCCUACCUGAGAGGGUGAUCGGCCACACUGGAACUGAGACACGGUCCAGACUCCUACGGGAGGCAGCAGCC
rnacentral:rRNA from 1 species